rnacentral:rRNA from 1 species
UGAACGCUGGCGGCGUGCCUAAUACAUGCACGUCGAGCGAACAGACGAGGAGCUUGCUCCUCUGACGUUAGCGGCGGACGGGUGGGUAACACGUGGAUAACCUACCUAUAAGACUGGGAUAACUUCGGGAAACCGGAGCUAAUACCGGAUAAUAUAUUGAACCGCAUGGUUCAAUAGUGAAAGACGGUUUUGCUGUCACUUAUAGAUGGAUCCGCGCCGCAUUAGCUAGUUGGUAAGGUAACGGCUUACCAAGGCAACGAUGCGUAGCCGACCUGAGAGGGUGAUCGGCCACACUGGAACUGAGACACGGUCCAGACUCCUACGGGAGGCAGCAGUAGGGAAUCUUCCGCAAUGGGCGAAAGCCUGACGGAGCAACGCCGCGUGAGUGAUGAAGGUCUUCGGAUCGUAAAACUCUGUUAUUAGGGAAGAACAAAUGUGUAAGUAACUAUGCACGUCUUGACGGUACCUAAUCAGAAAGCCACGGCUAACUACGUG